rnacentral:rRNA from 1 species
UACCAGCACCCCGAGUGGUCGGGACGAUUAUUGGGCCUAAAGCAUCCGUAGCCGGUCCUGCAAGUCUUCCGUUAAAUCCAGCUGCUCAACAGAUGGGCUGCGGGGGAUACUACAGGGCUAGGAGGCGGGAGAGGCAAGCGGUACUUUAUGGGUAGGGGUAAAAUGCGUUGAUCCAUAGAAGACCACCAGUGGCGAAGGCGGCUUGCCAGAACGCGCUCGACGGUGAGGGAUGAAAGCUGGGGGAGCAAACCGG